UAAGCCUAUACCUCUGCACCUCUGCUCCCUCCUCAAGACCCAAUAAAAUAGCAGUCCUGGAAGGAAAGACAGCAGAAGCCACAAGAACAAAGAGAAGCAUCAGGGUGGGGGUGGGGGGGUUGGGAGGGUAUGCGACUAGGCGGAAGGGGAGGGAAUCAAUGCAAGCCUUGAGGCGGGAGCAGAUGGCUGAGAGGUAACUGAGCCAGCAGGGAGGCUGCUGAGACCUAGGCACCCUGGAAGGGGGGCAGGUAGAGGGAAGAAGGGGAGAGGGGGAAAGGGCGGUGACAAGAAGCAGAAGGAACUGGAGACUAGGACCACACAUGCAAAGUGACUGAGGGUGGGGUUAAGCCCAGGAUCCCUCCUUGACUGGGGGUAAACCAGGAGGACUCUGAGAACAGCCCAGGGGGCAAGUGCCACACUGAAAACAAGCCUGUUCCUCUGGCAUGGGGCUGGUGGGCAAUGCAGACAUCAAGAGCCCACUCAGCCUUGGCCUUGAACUCCAGUAACCCUGCCUGGUGUUGCUGGGGACAAAACCACACCUGCCACUGAGGUCCAGAUAGGGGCUCUGCUUAGCUGUGAGCCUGGCCAUGAGGUGAUGACGAUGGGAAGGAUCUGGGUCAAAGACAUCCCAGUGGCUCCCAGACCCCUGCUUCUCUGUCUCCCUCCAAAGCCAUUUAAAAAUACACCAACUAUCUCUUUUUUAAGAGUUUGCAUUGUUCCCUGCUAUCUUUGAAGUUCCACCUACAUUUUACUUUCUCUAUAAAGUUUUAUCCUAAUGUGACUUUUUUAUGCUCAAAUGUCCUAUCAUAAGUCUCUGAAACAAAAAUGUAUCUAUAAAUUAAAAUCAAAAAUUUCAUUCUUUGUGAUUUUAGUUAAAACUUUUCUCGGCCGGGCGUGGUGGCUCACCCAGCUGCUUAUAAAAUUAAAUAUAACCUUACCAUAUAACCCAGAAAUUUUACUCCUAGAUAAUUACUGGGAGAAUUUCAUUUCUACCAAGAGAAAUGAAAACAUCCAUAUAAAGGCUUGUACACAAAUGUUCAUAGCACCUUUACUUGCAAUAACUUGGAAACAACCCAAAUGCCCAUCACUAGGACAGUUAUUAAACAAAGCAUGGCAUAUUCAUAUACUGUAAUAAAAGAAAAGAAUACACUUUUAUUAAGAGUAAUAAACAAAAUAACAAAAUAAACUAGACAGGCAUGGUGGCUCACACUUGUACCCCAGCACUUUGGGAGGCCAAGCGGUGAGGAUCACCUGGGCCCAUGAGUUCAAGACCAC
rnacentral:lncRNA from 10 species